AUGCACCAAGACAAUAUCAAAUUAGUCCCCACAGUAAGCUUUGUGGGUAGUACAAUAAGCUUACUAUGGUUCUUGAUAUAAUACUAGCUUGACAUGAAGGAAGGCAUGGGUAGUAUUCUUAACACUUCUCUAUUAUGACUUAAUAUAAUUUAAAUGAAAAAUUUAGGUCUCAUGCACAUCCAUAACAUAUAGAUAGGAAUGCAUCUUAUGCAAUUUAAAUUUAAUUCUAAUUCAAAUUACCAACAUGUAAGAGCAAAUAAAGGAAAACUAAUGGUUAUGGAUUUCAGAAAAAUCAUCCGAACCACA
rnacentral:lncRNA from 1 species